CCUGAGAAACCUAAAAGAUCGAAUGAGGAGAUUCAUCGUCAGCGCUUUUAGUAUAUAUGCAAGUUCUUGAUAUUGAGUUUAUCCUUGUGGUAAUAAUUGAUACUGGCUUGUAUAUUUAUUGCUAAUUGUUGUCGGCGUGCACUUCUCCUCUAGUAGAACGUCGCGACCCGUUAAGUGUCGAUCUACGACCCAGAUGGUUGUCUUUGAUUCAUUUUGAUGUGUGUUGAAGACCACUGGUGUUUUCCGAUCGGCUGCUUGACGGUAUAUAAUAUGGUAUUAAGUCGCAUAAUAUAUAUUUGCGUUAGACCGACCACAAGCGUAAUUAGUUAUCUGGCAGUGCGGACCUAGUGCCGUCGCUGGAGCUAGUUUGCUGUUCGUUGGUUGUGUUCUCUAACAGACUUGAAAAAUAUAAAAUACCUGUCAGCGAUGCUACUGCUUUGGGUACUUUCAGGACCCGUCUUGAAACACGGACCAAGGAGUCUAACAUGUGCGCAAGUCAUUGGGAUUUAUUUUUUCGAAAACAAACCUAAAGGCGUAAUGAAAAUAAAGAUUGACUUUAUGUCAAUUAAGGGAGGAUGAGUUAUAUUACGAUAUAAUUCCGCACUCCCGGGGUGUCUCAUUCACAUUAUGCGNNNNNGCGCACCUAG
rnacentral:rRNA from 1 species